rnacentral:sRNA from 1 species
UCAUGUAUACUAAAUUAAAUGUUUUUAGGAAUUCAGUGAAAAUCUGAAACGGUCCCGCCACUGUGAGAGAAUUCAUUUCUCGUAGUCAGAUACUAGACAUUUAAUGGUUCGGUUUCCUUACUUCGAGGCAAAGUAAGGGACUUUUA